GACGCGGUACGCACCGCCCGCCGGCGUCACGUGCGUGCCGCGGCCCGGCUUCCAGCUUCCGCCGGCGACGCCGGAGCCUCAGUCUGAGCCGGCGGCGGCGGCAGCAGCAUCAUGGCGGGCGGCCCUCAGGAGAACACGCUGCUGCACCUCUUCGCCGGGGGAUGCGGAGGAACAGUUGGUGCCAUCUUUACGUGUCCCUUAGAGGUAAUAAAGACUAGGCUCCAAUCUUCAAAGCUAGCGUUCCGGGCUGUCUACUACCCACAAGUCCAGCUGGGGACCAUCAGUGGUGACGGAAUGGUCAGGCCAACGUCUGUAUCACCUGGGCUCUUCAGCGUUCUCAAGUCAAUUCUGGAAAAAGAAGGACCAAGGUCACUCUUCCGAGGGCUGGGUCCAAACUUGGUUGGAGUUGCACCAUCAAGAGCUGUCUAUUUUGCAUGCUACUCCAAAGCCAAAGAGCGAUUUAAUGGCAUUUUCGUGCCCAACAGCAACAUUGUGCACAUCUGUUCUGCGGGUUCUGCCGCCUUUAUCACAAAUUCCCUGAUGAAUCCUAUAUGGAUGGUGAAAACCAGAAUGCAACUGGAACGGAAAGUCAGGGGUUCAAAACCAAUGAAUGCUUUGCAGUGUGCUAGAUAUGUUUACCAGACAGAAGGCAUCCGCGGCUUUUAUAGGGGCCUGACUGCCUCCUAUGCUGGGAUUUCUGAGACCAUUAUCUGCUUUGCUAUUUAUGAAAGUUUAAAAAAACACCUAAAGGAAGUCCAACUGCCCCCUUCUCCUCCUAAUGGGACCGAAAGGAACUCAACAAACUUCUUUGGACUGAUGUUUGCUGCUGCUGUUUCCAAGGGCUGUGCCUCUUGUAUUGCUUAUCCACACGAGGUCAUACGGACACGGCUGCGAGAAGAAGGCACUAAAUACAAGACUUUCAUUCAGACAGCACGUCUGGUAGCACGUGAAGAAGGCUAUCUCGCCUUCUAUAGAGGACUCUUUGCCCAACUCAUCCGGCAGAUACCAAACACAGCCAUUGUGUUGUCCACCUAUGAGUUGAUCGUGUAUCUGUUAGAAGACCACGCAAAGUAGCAGAGCCAAGACUCCUGUCAUAAACUGUAGACCAAUUUCUUCGUUGAACAAAUAAUCCUUUAAGAGACUGAUGCAGGUGGAAAAACCUACAAGUCUGUGACCACCUGCUGGAUAUUUCCUUUUGGAUUCAUGCUUUCUGAAAGUUGAGACAAACACUACAGCAUUUGAGCCCAGCUUCAGUCUUCCCUGCUGUUGAACUGCAGAAUGAGCUUCUCAUGAUUUGAGCAGGUGUUGAGUUCUUGAGCGUAAACAAGUGUUUAUGGACAUCUUUGACUUCAAGGACCCUAUACAGCGGAGGUGGUGUUUGGACUUGGAAGGAUCAUGCAAAGCGUUAAGAAACAGCCUAGUAGUGAGUAGGGCUGUCUUUUGUAAGAUACAGUUUUCAGGCUAGUAUUUUGUUGCAGAAAUAUAAUGGGUGGUAACUGGAUUCAAACCUUCGUGAAUGUUCUUAUUAGAACCUAGCUGAUGACUGGUAUUUGAGGUCAUAUUUGACAUCAAUGUGAUGGAGGAGCAUAGUACAAAGAGGGUAGAAUUUGUGUGUACCUCAUUAUGAGGCAGAACUGCAAAAAUAACUGAUUUCUAUUAUGUCUUACUGAAAAUAACAUAUCACAUUACCCCUAAGCUAAAAUAGGAAACAGUUGAGUAACUAAAAACUGGCUUGGCUUUUUUUUUUAUGGAGAUGAUGAGCAGCAAAAGCUUUAGUCUCUUUAUAGGAGUCAAAACUGUCAUACCGUGCUGUUUCUAUUUUUGAGAACUAGGACACUUGUGUUGCUACUUUGAAACGAUUUCUGAGAUUUCCUUAAAUUAGUAUUCCUCUGACUUUUAAAAUGUUAGUCAAAUUUGUAGACUGCUGGUAUCUUUGGAGAAUGAGGGGAGGGAACUCAGACCCUCUUGAGGAUUUUGGGACUUGGUAAGGGAGAGUGAACAAAUUUUUGUUCCACCUAAAUCUGAUGGAAAAUCAGGAAUUCUGCUGGAUUUUUGUUCUUGUUCUUUAAGCUUUCCUACCAACCCUGACAGAAUUAGUCUUAAUUUGAUAGGGUGUUAAUAAGCUAUAUUGGGAGCCAAUAGAAUUUCUGGAUUAGUAUAAUUUACUCCUGUUUCCUUCCCCUCUCUACUAGAAUUUUUAAAAUUCACUAACCCUUGAUUCCUUAACCCUGUAAAGAAUUUACAUUUUUAGGUGAUGCUUUGUGAGCAAUCCCAUUGAUGUCACUGAGUAUGGAGUAAGCCUAUUACCAGAGGGACGAAUUUGAAGUAGUUUUUCCCAAACGGAUACCUGAAUUUAAAAAUAACCAGCCUUUCUCUGGUUGUGAAAGAAAAACCAGAAGCAUUUUUCACUGUUCAUUCCACUUCUUCAGCUUCCACAGAAAGUCAGUUUCAUGGAAGGUAGGUAAAUUUGUUACCAGUUAGAAUUUCCUGGGCAGUUUUCCUCCAGGUUCAGGCUUCAUUACAAGACCCUUUGUACCUUAAUUAUCAGUAAGGUGAUGAAGCUAUGGUCUUAUCUGAAGUGACCACAAAGUUUCCAUUAACUUUACCAGGACCGAGUCUGUUCCUGUUCAUAAAUUAACAGUUCAAUUGAAAUUACAAACACACUGUUGCUACAAUAGUAUGAGCUACUCAUGUUGGUUAAUUGAGCUUUGGAAGCAUUUCUUAGGCAUUUGAAGAUGUCUCAAGUCCUUACAUUUUAAGACUUACUGCCUCCUUUUAGGUAUCCAUGGUUGCCUUGAUAUCCCUCAAAAUUAUCUGCAUGUACUGGUGGCUGUGAUAGAUGCUUGUAUUGUGAUUGUGCCCUUCACUGUGAUUUGUAGUUGUUUUGCACAAGUUCCUCAUUAGCUCCUUUAAGGAGGAAACUUUUGGUAAACAAUGCAUCUGUGGUUGGACUGAUACUGCAGAUAUAGUUGACAGGAAGGGAUGACUUCGGUAGAAAAAAUAAGCAGUCAAGUACAGAAGUUCUAAAGGACUUGCAGAAGGGCUUGAUGUGCCAAAUGACUGGGUUGUUCUUCCUCCUUUCCCUAUCAUUUGGUCUCAUAAAACAAUCCCUAAGUAAUUGAGCUAAACAGUGGAGGACAGAUGGGAAAAAUUAUGUCCCACUCGCAUUUAUCAAGAGGAAAUAGUCACUGUUAUUCCAUAUAAUUAAUUUCCAUGGUUAAAUCUGUGGAGAUAGAAAUGUAACAGUUAAAACCCCCACCACAGUUAGGACAAGCUUAAAAGUGGAGCUUACUUCCAGUACAAAUAUUUGUCUAUGAAGAGCUUUUUAACAAGAUGAUGUUGAUGCAACUUGGUUCUCCUGAAUUUUAAGCAGUUCUGUCUAUUGUGUUGAGAGCUUUCUGGUUUUAAUCAGGAAAACAGCUAUGCAAUUUGAGGCAGGGUCAGUCUCGUAUUUUGGAGAGGUCUUACCUUCAU